CGCGGAUCUUCAACUGCAGACACAACUUGGUGGGGAAUGUGUCCGGGUAGCGCGCCUGGAAGGAAGCCGUGGCCUGAGCUGCAGAGACGAGACAGAGAAGAGGAGGACAAUGACAGAGACUGGAUCUACCUGAAGGAAAGAAGCCGUGUUCUUGAAAAAGCUGCAUGACCAGCGCGCGACGUUGGUCCAGUGUCCUCCGCAGAGACGAGUACGGAACCCUGUCCGGGUCUCCCAGGGGGACGUCGCCUUCCGGACCUGCUGGAACAAAAAGCAACCUCACAAAACGGUUCAUACAUCAUCUCACUGCAAAAAGAUAAAAUACAAUCUUACUAAGUAUUACCAAGCUCAUUCAUAACAUAUUUAAGAAACAAAGCAGUUCAAAGUGGUUUACAGCAUAAAAACAUAACACAGUCACCAGUUAUGAAACAAGUAAAAGACAUUUCCAAAAACCAUCAUCAAUUUAAAUACAUAUAAUAGAAGUCUGACUUUGUAACUGUCUUUAUGUCUCUUAAGGUUCCACUGCAAAAAUAAAAAAAUGUACCAAUAGUUUCUGUCUAGUUUCCAUAUUGCAAAUAUGUUGGUACACUUGGAAUA